rnacentral:lncRNA from 1 species
CUCAAGAGGAAAAGGCUGAUGCCUUUGACUUUCCCUUCCCUUCAAGAAAUGUUGAAAAAGUAAUUAAACGAAAGAAGAAGAAGUCCAAAGUCUGGCUUAAAGUCUGGAAAGUAAUGUCAAAAAUGCUUGAAGAAAAUGAAAAGUUCAGACAUCGACUGUUGACUUGCAGUCAGUUCAGUGGAGAAGGCAAUGACGCGAACCAAAGUUCACAGAAGGGUUCCCCCUGGACAGGGAGCCCAUCUUUGGUUGGGUGUAGCAAGAAAAUAAAGGAAGAUUUAGGCCAAAAGGAAAUAUAAAACUACUGAAAUUGUUUUCAUCUAUAUCUUACUAAAAUUAGAGAGAAG